AAAAAAAAAGCCCCAGGCACUUCAUGCCUGGAAAUGAUGUAAGACGCAGCCACUCCUCUGUUAGAACUACAACCAAACAAUGCUCGGCGAUCGCGGCAGCUGCUCUCCAAAUGUCAGCGCCAAGCCCGGCCAAAGGGCUGGAAGGCCACCGAGCCCAGGACUUUGUGCGCUACCUUUGUCGCCCACAUUUUCCCCAAGCACUCUCAGGACCCUGGCAACAGGUAACGUGGCAACCUUUGCCUUCUAAAACGGCAAGCGGCAGGAUUUCAGAGAACAAAAGGAUUUUUUGAAAGCCAGCUGCAUCUCCCUCGCCACCCCCUCCCCCGCCCUCUCCCCCCGCCCUCCCCCUUCGCCACUCCAAGUCUGAGAAAACAAAGUAUUGCUGCGGCAGCCCGGCUCUCGAGCGCCCCCUGGUGACCAAGCUCGGAACAUCACCGAUGUACCUUUCAAGGUACAACUUCAGUCCGAGGCUCCCAGAACAAGCCCCGCACUGCCUCCUGGUGUGGAUUACAUUUUGCUUUUCGAAAGGAACCAUGGAUAGUAAAGCGAAAUCAUUUUGAUUCUUUUGGAUUUCUACUGUCGUAGGUGAAAGGUUUUAUUAAUCAGUUCUUUGAAAAACCAGCUAUACCCACUGCAAACCUACCAAAUGAGAGGAUGUUAAGCUGUUCAGUGGGUUGUACGUUUGGGGCCUUGUUUGGAAUUUCAAGCUCAUGUUAUGGGACUGGCCCGUGGUUGCAAUUUACACCGUUUAUCAGUAGGAUUGCUGAAGUGCUGAGGUGCCGGAAUGCGGAAACACUGGAGGACACCAGGGCUGGUCUUCGGAUCAACAUUAAUUACCAAUAAAGAGUUAGGAAAUUGAUCACAGGGAAGGGAAGCAUGUUAAUGGCCACCGCUCAAAGGUUCAGCCCCGUUCAGUUACUGAUAACCUUGCGACGUCUCCAGAUAAAAGCCAGCCUUGUCACCCCCAGGCACCUGGCUGAGAGGUAAUAAAAUUGUUGCCUUAUCUUCUAAGAGUGGAGUUGGUCCAACCUCAGUCCGAGGUAAUUACAGUAAACUGAAAUUGCCUGUCAUUUACAAAAAAGGGAAGGCGUAAGGCGGGAGAUGGUGUUUGUCUCUCUCCUUGGAUUUUAAAAAGAAAGCAAGCAAAACAGCCAGAAGUUUUCCAGGGAGUGAGAAAAACAGCCCGGCUUGGCCACCCUCUCCUGGGGGUAACGGAUUGCAGGCGGCUCAGGUCCCCGUGACGAUCUGAAAGAGAGGCUCACGCUGAUGAAAAUCCAAGCAAUCCUCUUCGUCUGUCCUUUCUAAAUGUAAAUGACAGAGUCGGAGCCCUGCUAGGGAGGGCAGGGAGUCUCAGUCUUACCCAGUGACUCAUUCAGUGCUGUUAGCUCCAAAAGCUGGAUAAAAAGUUUUAGCAAAAGCAGCAACAAAUCUACUUUAAAUACUAGCACAGUAAGGAAAUUCCUCUCUUUCAGGCCGAAUGCCAUCCACACAAUAGAGCUCCUGUCGACAUCUCAUUUACAAUCUACCCCCAGGACACAGACAGGACCAUUUCCAUAAACCCGGCUCAGAAACACCUAUUGUUCAAAAUCUUCAACUAGCCACAGGCUACCACCACUCCCUAUUGUUUUGUAAAAUAAAAGAUUUAGAAGGAGCCAGAUUGGGACCUGGAAGCUCUGAAAAGAGGAAGGAAAAAAGUCCCUUUGACCCAAUGCUGUUGGAGAACGUGCGUGAAGAAUAAAGUUAAUGGAUUUUCAUUUUUACAAGAAGUGCAUAAGCAACGCCCGCUCCCUUCCUGAACUCGUGAUCGGGGAUUCUGAAAGCAGUGCCAACGGGUUUGGUACCUGAAAAGUCAAAGGCUCUACUUACCCUAUUCUCUGUCUUACAAAAGCCCUGAUGGCAGCCACAGCAAAGCACCAGAUCCUAUUAUUUCCUCUCUGGAAGAUGACAGCAACUUCCUACCUCAGCGUUCCUCAAGCUACCUGUUGUGACUUCUUAACGGGUCAUGAAAUCAGUUGAGCCAGUAAGCCGGGUGUACCCCUGCUCCUGUGCAAAAGGCCUGUGAAACUCUGAAGCUAUACUUGUACACAGAUGUGAUCCGAUGAUGCCAUCUCAUCUCCAUGGCAACCAGGUGUCUCAGUUAUCUAGUCUGGUGCCAGGGCAUCGGAGACCUGCCACCACCAUGCUGUUCCCCGUCACUCAGUUCCAAAUUUAUGAGAUUGCCUCAGUCCCUUAGGUAUUUGUUCUCUGAAAGGUAAAAAUGUAGCUAGUCUGAUAAAAUAAUGCAUUGGAGGAUGGCUGGGGGACGGGGGAUUGCAUUUUUAAAAGAAUUCUUGCAAACAUUUCCUUCGUCCAGAGUAAUAAAUACGUGUUUAAAAAGAGGGUCUCUGACGAACUUAUGGUUACCAGGGGGGGAAGGGUUGGGGGAAGGGAUAGUUAGGGAGUUUGGGAUUGACAUGUACACGCAGCUGGAUUUAAAAUGGAUAACCAACAAGGACCUACUGUAUAGCACAGGGAACCCUGCUCAAUAUUAUGUAACAAUCUAGAUGGGAAAAGAAUUUGAAAAAAGAAGAGAUACAUGUAAUAUAUGUAUAACUGAAUCACUUUGCUGUACACCCGAAACUAUCACAACAUUGUUAAUCAACUAUACUCCAAUAUAAAAUAAACAGUUUCUUAAAAAAAGAAAAAAGAGGGUCUCUGUAAAGUCUGCCUUAAUUCCAAGGAGGGUCUAAAAUUGGGAAUUUCCGGAUGCUAAUAGACCUAGAGUGGCAGUAAACAACUUUCCUCAUAAUUAAGCCCAGAAGGGGAAGAACUAAAUUGUGUACUUU